rnacentral:misc_RNA from 1 species
GAUGAAGAACGUAGCGAAACGCGAUAAGUAAUGUGAAUUGCAGAAUCCAGUGAAUCAUCGAAUCUUUGAACGCACAUUGCGCCCGCCAGCAUUCUGGCGGGCAUGCCUGUUCGAGCGUCAUUUCAACCCUCGACCUCCCCUUGGGGAGGUCGGCGUUGGGGACCGGCAGCACACCGCCGGCCCUGAAAUGGAGUGGCGGCCCGUCCGCGGCGACCUCUGCGCAGUAAUACAGCUCGCACCGGGACCCCGACGCGAACACGCCGUAAAACACCCAACUUCUGAACGUUGACCUCGAAUCAGGUAGGACUACCCGCUGAACUUAAGCAUAUCAAUAAGCGGAGGA